GGGGAGAGCGCCGAAUCUUGGGCUGUGUCCCCCCAUGCCCUGGGCUCCAGGGCCUGCACCACUGGAAAUGCACUCCUGGGGCCCCGCAGCCCCCU
rnacentral:pre_miRNA from 1 species